rnacentral:hammerhead_ribozyme from 1 species
AUCCUGCUGACGAGUCCCAAAUAGGGCGAAACGGGAGUCAUGGAU